AAAAGAAAGCCUAGCGUGGUGGCGAGCACCUGUAGUCCCAGCUACUUGGGAGGCUGAGGCAGGAGAACGGCGUGAACCCGGGAGGCGGAGCUUGCAGUAAGUCGAGAUUGUGCCACUGCACUACAGUCUGGGCAACAGAGCGAGACUCCGCCUAAAAAAAAAAAAAAGCAAACAAAAACCGAAGUAUGUGUGACCUCUAGUCAGCCAAUGGCUGCUUGGCUGUAUUUUGAAUUUAGGCCUAGUUAGCCACUCCGGAUCCAUCAUGAACCUCUUUUGGGGUUCACACCCUUAAGCCUCAAAUAUUUACUCUCUGGCUCUUUACGGAAAAUGUUUGCAGUUUCCCACCAUCAGCAAUAACCAAUGGAUAUCAAAUGUGUUACAUACAUAUUUUUCCCAACCUGUCUUUUAACUUUGUGGGUUUUUUUUUCUACCACACAACACUGUGCAAUUCUUUUCCUGUAUGGGUUUUAGGUUUCCUGCUUUGUUUAAUAAGGUCUCCUCGACCUAAGCUUAUGCAAAUAUUCUUCCAAUUUUUGUUUUAUUAAUUUUACUUACGUUUUGCCUUUAGUUCGCUAAUCCACCUAGAAUUAAUCUUAUUUGUGAUGUGAGGAAGGAUUUAGCUUUGUUUUAUUCCUGACAAACAGCCAGCAUGUCAGCAGUUAUACUUAGUAAAUAAAACAUUCUUCAACUGACUUGAAUUGUGAUCUUUCAUGUAUCAAGUCCCCAUAAACACUUGAAUCUGUUUCUGGAUUUUCUGUUUUAUUCCACUGAUUUAUUUGUUGUCUUUUCUGUGUCAAUAUAUUUUGAUUGCAGGAGUAAAUCAAGUGGGUUUUAGAUCUGUGACAUAGCCAAGUCCUAAAACAAUAGUAGCUGAGACAAAAUAGAAGUUUAUUUCUCUCGUCAGAUAAAAUAAUUUCAGAGAUAGGUAGCCCAGGGCUAAAAUGGUGGCUUCACGUUCAUCAGGCCUCCAUCGUUCCACUCCACUGUCCUCGAAUUAAUCUCCAUCCUUACAGUCACCUCAUUGUCCAAGAUGGCUUCUGGAAUUCCAGCCAUCAGAUUCACAUUCCAUUCCAGGUAGCAGAAAGUAGGAAGAAGAAAGGGCAAAUAAAAUUUUAAAAACAUAAAGCAAGAAAAGAGAGUGAAAAGAGAAAUGAAAUGAAAAGGGAAAAAAGAAACAAAAAAAUGACUUUUGCAAACCGUUGUCUAUACAUUUUUGAAGAGGAGUCUUUCUAGAAGUCCUUCCCAACCACUUUUGCUUAUACUUUAGCCACAUAGCCAUACCUUUAAAGGAGGCUGGGAAAGCCUCCUUAUAGGUUUAAAAGUUAUAUUGUAAUAUUAUUGAGGAAACACAUUGCUACCCCAUCAAUAUACAAAUUUUGUUACUAAGAAAGGAGUUAAUACUAGGUAAGCACUUAGUAGUGUUUGCCCCAGGUAGCUUUACAGUAACUUCCCAAAACUGUUGAAGCAUUUUACUAUUUUUUUUGGGGGGGGACAGGAUCUUACUUUGUUGCCCAGGCUGGAAUGCAGUGGUGUGAUCAAGCUCCCUGCAGCCUCAAUCUCCUGGGUUCAAGCCAUCCCCCCACCUCAGUCUCCUAAGUAGCGGGGACUACAGGCACGCACCACCACACCUGGCUGUUUUUUUGUUUUUGUUUUUGUUUUUGUUUUUGUUUUUGAGACAGUGUCUCAUUCUGUUGCCCAGGCUGGAGUGCAGUGGAGCGAUCUCGGCUCACUGCAACCUCCGCCUCCCAGAUUGAAGCGAUUCUCAUGCCUCAGCCUCCCGAGUAGCUGGGAAUGCAAGCGCCCAUCACCACACCCAGCUAGUUUUGUAUUUUUAGUAGGGAUGGGGUUUCACCAUGUUGGCCAGGCUGGUCUCAAGCUCCUGACCUCAGGUGAUCCACCAGUCUCGGCCUCCCAGAGUGCUGGGAUUACACCACCACGCACACCUGGCUAAUAUUUUUGUUUUUUAAUAGAGACAAGGUCUUGCUGUGUUGCCCAGGCUUGUCUGGAACUCCUGGGCUCAAGCAAUCCUCUUGCCUUGGCCUCCCAAAGUGCUGGGAUUACAGGUGUGAGUCACUGUGCCUGGCCUAGUUUUUAGGAAACCAUUUUAAACUUUUAAAGUCAUUUUAUACAGUAUAUCCUAUCCCCCUCCAUUCUGAUAGGAAGGACUUAAAUAUUUUUAUAUAUUUAGGAGAAAUGAAUACUUUAAGCAUUCCAAACAGGAUCCUGGUAUAUCUCUUCAUUUUUUUAGGCUUUUUGUCUUUGUCUAUCAAUCCAAUUUUAUAGUUUUUCCCAUAUAGACCCUGUUUUUGUUCAAUUUAUUGACACAAUAUCUUCUGUUGCUUUUAUGAAUGUAAUGUUUCUCCCGUAUUGUUUUUUGUUUUGUCAUUGCCAGUUAAAGGAAAGUUACUGGCUUUUGGAUUGUAAAUUUUUUUUUUUUUUUUAGACAAGAUCUCACUCUGUUGACCAGGCUGGAGUGCAGUGGUGUGAUUACAGUCACUCAAGCCUUCCACCUCAGCCUCCCAGGUAGCUGGAACUAUAGGUGUACGCCACUAUGCCCGGCUAACUUUUGAAUUUUCUGUAGAUUCAGGGUUUCACCAUGUUGCCCAGAUGGAUCUGGAACUGCUAGCCGCAAACAAUCCACUCGCCUCAGCCUCCCAAAGUGCUGGGAUUACAGGUGUGAGCCACAACUCCCAGCCUUGGACAUAUUUCUUGCAACCAGUCACUUUGACCAAAUUCUCUUAAUAAUAUUAAUGUUUUAGGAGAGUCUCAGAUUUCCUAGAUUAUAAUAACAUUUUCUAAUAAAAAAUAUUUUUCCCUUCUUCUCAAAUAUUGAUACUAAUCAUUUUAUUUUCCUGUCUUGGUGCAUUGAACCAAACCUUGGAAUCAUUGUUGAAUCACAGUAGGCAUCCUUGCCUUCUUCCUGUUGCUGAUGGCACUGGCUUCAGCAUGGCCUCCUUCGGUGUGAUGGGUGUUAUUGGGUUGUGUUAAGAAUGCAUAAUCUGCACUUUGGGAGGUUGAGGCGAGUGGAUCACGAGGUCAGCAGUUCAAGACCAGCCUGGCCAACAUGGUGAAACCCCGUUUCUGCUAAAAAAUACAAAAAAUUAGCCGGGCGUGGUGGCAGGCGCCUGUAAUCCCAGCUACUUGAGAGGCUGAGGCAGGAGAAUCGCUUGAAACUGGGAGGCGGAGGUUGCAGUGAGCUGAGAUUGCACCAUUGGACUCCAGCCUGGGCAGCAAGAGCGAAAACUCCAUCUCAAAAAAAAAAAAAGAAUGGCUCACACCUGUAAUCCUAGCACUUUGGGAGGCCAAGGUGGGCAGAUCACCUGAGGUCAGGAGUUCAAGAGCAGCUUGGCCGACAUGGCGAAACCCUGUCUCUACUAAAAAUACAAAAAUUAGCAGGGUAUGGUGGCAGGCGCCUGUAGUCUCAGCUACUUGGGAGGCUGAGGCAGGAGAAUUGCUUGAGCCCAGGAGGCGGAGGUUGCAGUGAGCUGAGAUCAUACCACUGCACUCUAGCCUGGGCAACAGAGUGAAACUCUGUCUCAAAAAAAAAAACAAAAACAAAAAAAAAGGAAUGCAUAGCAUAGUCAGGGUGUUGUUUUUUUAUCUAGUUCUAUUUUACUUAGAGAGUUUAUUAGGAAUGACUGCUGAAUUGUACCCAACCCCGCAAGGGAAUGAUUUUCUCCUUUAACUAAUGGGUGUAAGAAAAUGUGUCAGGCCAGGCGCGGUGGUUCAUGCCUGUAAUCCCAGCACUUUGGGAGGCCGAGGUGGGUAAAUCACGAGGUCAGGAGUUUGAGACAAGUCUUGUCAACAUGGUGAAAUCUCGUCUCUACUAAAAAUACAAAAAUUAGCCGGGCACAGUGGCAGUCGCCUGUAAUCCCAGCUACUCAGGAGGCUGAGGCUGGGGAGAAUCGCUUGAACCUGGGAGGUGGAGGUUGCAGUGAGCCAAGAUUGCACCAUUGCACUCUGGCCUGGGUGACACAGCAAGACUCCAUCUCAAAAAAAAAAAAAAAAAAAAAAAGAAAGAAAGAAAAGAAAAGGAAAGAAAGAAAGAAAAUGUGUCACUUUAAUCAUAAUAAACAUUUACUUUCUUUUAAAAGAUAAUGUAUUAAAAAGUUUUGUGCAUCAAAGAUUACUAUCA
rnacentral:lncRNA from 1 species